rnacentral:rRNA from 1 species
GAUGAACGCUGGCGGCGUGCCUAAUACAUGCAAGUCGAGCGAACAGACGAGGAGCUUGCUCCUCUGACGUUAGCGGCGGACGGGUGAGUAACACGUGGAUAACCUACCUAUAAGACUGGGAUAACUUCGGGAAACCGGAGCUAAUACCGGAUAAUAUAUUGAACCGCAUGGUUCAAUAGUGAAAGACGGUUUUGCUGUCACUUAUAGAUGGAUCCGCGCCGCAUUAGCUAGUUGGUAAGGUAACGGCUUACCAAGGCGACGAUGCGUAGCCGACCUGAGAGGGUGAUCGGCCACACUGGAACUGAGACACGGUCCAGACUCCUACGGGAGGCAGCAGUAGGGAAUCUUCCGCAAUGGGCGAAAGCCUGACGGAGCAACGCCGCGUGAGUGAUGAAAGUCUUCGGGUCGUAAAACUCUGUUAUUAGGGAAGAACAAAUGUGUAAGUAACUAUGCACGUCUUGACGGUACCUAAUCAGAAAGCCACGGCUAACUACGUG